rnacentral:rRNA from 1 species
AUUGAACGCUGGCGGCAGGCUUAACACAUGCAAGUCGAGCGGGGGAAGGUAGCUUGCUACCGGACCUAGCGGCGGACGGGUGAGUAAUGCUUAGGAAUCUGCCUAUUAGUGGGGGACAACAUCUCGAAAGGGAUGCUAAUACCGCAUACGUCCUACGGGAGAAAGCAGGGGAUCUUCGGACCUUGCGCUAAUAGAUGAGCCUAAGUCGGAUUAGCUAGUUGGUGGGGUAAAGGCCUACCAAGGCGACGAUCUGUAGCGGGUCUGAGUGGAUGAUCCGCCACACUGGGACUGAAACACGGCCCAGACUCCUACGGGAGGCAGCAGUGGGGAAUAUUGGACAAUGGGGGGAACCCUGAUCCAGCCAUGCCGCGUGUGUGAAGAAGGCCUUAUGGUUGUAAAGCACUUUAAGCGAGGAGGAGGCUACUUUAGUUAAUACCUAGAGAUAGUGGACGUUACUCGCAGAAUAAGCACCGGCUAACUCUGUGCCAGCAGCCGCCGUAA